CUACGACGGGUACGGGUUGUGAGAGCAAGAGCCCGGAGAUGGAUUCUGAGACACGAAUCCAGGCCCUACGGGGUGCAGCAGGCGCGAAAACUUUACAAUGCUGGCAACAGCGAUAAGGGAACCUCGAGUGCCAGGUUACAAAUCUGGCUGUCGAGAUGCCUAAAAAGCAUUUCAUAGCAAGGGCCGGGCAAGACCGGUGCCAGCCGCCGCGGUAACACCGGCGGCUCGAGUGGUAACCGUUAUUAUUGGGUCUAAAGGGUCUGUAGCCGGCCGGAUAAGUCUCUUGAGAAAUCUGGCAGCUUAACUGUCAGGCUUUCAGGAGAUACUGUCUGGCUCGAGGCCGGGAGAGGUGAGAGGUACUUCAGGGAUAGGGGUGAAAUCUUGUAAUCCUUGAAGGACCACCAGUGGCGAAGGCGUCUCACCAGAACGGACCUGACGGCAAGGGACGAAAGCUAGGGGCACGAACCGGAUUAGAUACCCGGGUAGUCCUAGCCGUAAACGAUACUCGCUAGGUGUCGGCCACGGUGCGACCGUUGUCGGUGCCGUAGGGAAGCCGUGAAGCGAGC
rnacentral:rRNA from 1 species